UACGUAGGGGGCAAGCGUUGUCCGGAUUUAUUGGGCGUAAAGAGCGUGUAGGCGGCCAUGUAGGUCCGUUGUGAAAACUCGAGGCUCAACCUCGAGACGCCGAUGGAAACCAUGUGGCUAGAGUCCGGAAGAGGAGAGUGGAAUUCCUGGUGUAGCGGUGGAAUGCGCAGAUAUCAGGAGGAACAUCCGUGGCGAAGGCGGCUCUCUGGGCCGGAACUGACGCUGAGGAGCGAAAGCGUGGGUAGCAAACAGG
rnacentral:rRNA from 1 species